rnacentral:rRNA from 1 species
AACAGGAUUAGAUACCCUGGUAGUCCACGCCCUAAACGAUGCACACUAGUUGUUGCGAUGCUAGUCAUUGCAGUAAUGCACUUAACAGAUUAAGUGUGCCGCCUGGGGAGUACGGUCGCAAGAUUAAAACUCAAAGGAAUAGACGGGGACCCGCACAAGCGGUGGAGCAUGUGGUUUAAUUCGAAGAUACACGAAGAACCUUACCUGGCCUUGAUAUCCUAAGAAUCCUUUAGAGAUAGAGGAGUGCUAGUUUACUAGAACUUAGAGACAGGUGCUGCACGGCUGUCGUCAGCUCGUGUCGUGAGAUGUUGGGUUAAGUCCCGCAACGAGCGCAACCCUCGUGAUUAGUUGCUAACAGUUCGGCUGAGCACUCUAAUCAGACUGCCUUCGCAAGGAGGAGGAAGGUGAGGACGACGUCAAGUCAUCAUGGCCCUUAUGGCCAGGGCUACACACGUGCUACAAUGGCUAGGACAAAGAGACGCGAUACUGCGAAGUGGAGCAAAUCUUAAAACCUAGUCUCAGUUCGGAUUGGAGUCUGCAACUCGACUCCAUGAAGCUGGAAUCGCUAGUAAUCGUAGAUCAGAUAUGCUACGGUGAAUACGUUCCCGGGUCUUGUACUCACCGCCCGUCACACCAUGGGAGUUGAAUUCACCCGAAGCCGGAAUACUAAACUAGUUACCGACCACGGUGGGUUCAGCGACUGGGGUGAAGUCGUAACAAGGUAACC